CGCCUGUUUAUCAAAAACAUCUUUUCUUGUUAGUUUUUGAAGUAUGGCCUGCCCGCUGACUUUGGUGUUGAAGGGCCGCGGUAUUUUGACCGUGCAAAGGUAGCAUAGUCAUUAGUUCUUUAAUUGUGAUCUGGUAUGAAUGGCUUGACGAGGCAUGGGCUGUCUUAAUUUUAAAUUGCUUAUUGAAUUUGGUCUUUGAGUUAAAAUUCUUAGAUGUUUUUAUGGGACGAGAAGACCCUAUAGAGUUUGACAUUUAUUAUGGUCUCUUUCUGUUUGUGAGGGUUCACUGGGCCAUUUAAUAUGUUUUGUUGGGGUGAUGGGAGGGAUAUAAUUUAACCCCUCCUUUGUGUUGUUAUAUUUAUUUAUAUUUGUUUGAUCCAUUUAUUUUGAUUGUAAGAUUAAAUUACCUUAGGGAUAACAGCGUAA
rnacentral:rRNA from 1 species